rnacentral:rRNA from 1 species
UACGUAGGGGGGCUAGCGUUGUCCGGAAUCAUUGGGCGUAAAGAGCGUGUAGGCGGCCCGGUAAGUCCGCUGUGAAAGUCGGGGGCUCAACCCUCGAAUGCCGGUGGAUACUGUCGGGCUAGAGUGCGGAAGAGGCGAGUGGAAUUCCUGGUGUAGCGGUGAAAUGCGCAGAUAUCAGGAGGAACACCGAUUGCGAAGGCAGCUCGCUGGGACGUUACUGACACUGAGGCGCGAAAGCGUGGGGAGCGAACAGG